rnacentral:rRNA from 1 species
AUUGAACGCUGGCGGCAUGCCUUACACAUGCAAGUCGAACGGUAACGGGUCCUUCGGGAUGCCGACGAGUGGCGAACGGGUGAGUAAUAUAUCGGAACGUGCCCAGUAGUGGGGAUAACUGCUCGAAAGAGCAGCUAAUACCGCAUACGACCUGAGGGUGAAAGGGGGGGAUCGCAAGACCUCUCGCUAUUGGAGCGGACGAGAUCAGAUUAGCUAGUUGGUGGGGUAAAGGCCUACCAAGGCAACGAUCUGUAGUUGGUCUGAGAGGACGACCAGCCACACUGGGACUGAGACACGGCCCAGACUCCUACGGGAGGCAGCAGUGGGGAAUUUUGGACAAUGGGCGCAAGCCUGAUCCAGCAAUGCCGCGUGCAGGAAGAAGGCCUUCGGGUUGUAAACUGCUUUUGUCAGGGAAGAAAUCUUCUGGGCUAAUACCCCGGGAGGAUGACGGUACCUGAAGAAUAAGCACCGGCUAACUACGUGCCAGCCGCCGCUGUAA